CAAUCAAAAAAGUUGCUAAAUACCCGAGUAGUCCUAGCUGUAAACUCUGCGAGCUAUAUAUCACAUGUUCUUNGGAAUAUGUUGUGUCGAAGCGAAGGUAUUAAGCUCGCCGCCUGGGAAGUAUGGUCGCAAGACUGAAACUUAAAGGAAUUGGCGGGGGAGCACCACAAGGGGUGAGGCGUGCGGUUUAAUCCAACUCAACGCGGAAAAUCUCACCAGGGGCGACGGCAGAAUGAAGGUCAGUUUGAAGAACUUACCAGACAAGCCGAGACUUGCUGAAAUUAAAAAUUUCAGCUCGCGGUUAAGGUAGUGCAUGGCCGUCGUCAGCUCGUGCCGUAUCCGUUAAAUUGUAAAUCUUCUUACAAUUUAUGGCGGUUUAGGUGUCCUGUUAGGAAAUGUGAAGUUUUUCUACAAAAAAAAGCUUUACUUUCACAGUGAGUCAGGCAACGAGCGAGACCUGUACUUACAAUUGCUAGCAACUCUAUUAGAGGAUUGGGCACAUUGUAAGGACCGCCAGUGAAAACUGGAGGAAGGUGCAGGCUACGGUAGGUCUGUAUGCUCCGAAUCCUCUGGGCUACACGCGCGCAACAAUGGUUAAGACAAUGGGUUAUGACUCCGAAAGGAGAAAUUAAACCUCAAAACUUAACCUUAGUACAGAUUGAGGACUGUAACUCGGUCCUCAUGACGCUGGAAUCCCUAGUAAUCAGAAGUCAACAUCUUCUGGUGAAUAUGUCCCUGCUCC
rnacentral:rRNA from 1 species